rnacentral:lncRNA from 1 species
GCGCCUCCUGCCCGGCAGCGGUGAAGAGAAGAACUACCACUCCCGAAGAGGAGCGCAGGCCGCCGCCGGGCGGCUGCGGGAAGCUGGGCCAGGCGGCCGCAGAUCCCCACAACAUCCGGGAGCCGGCGACCACUUCCAGUUGCUAUGGUUACGAGUUGCAACCUCCAAAAAGAAUUCGUGGUUUCACCCGGGAAAACAGCUCCCCGGAUUAAACGGAUAGGUUUACACAUACUGAUCCACCCAGCUAUUCAUCUUCUGUUUGCUGCUUUAAUUGGGUGCGGUUAAAAGGCCACGUCCCUAGGCGUUCACCGGCUUUCUUGCCAUCUGCUGCAUGAAAACUGAUUUUGCCGAAAAAAUUAACAAAGAAGAUAGCGAAAAUGACAGACCGCGACCGGGAUAAGAAAAGUACUUCACCUUCAAAUUCAGACACAGAAAUGAAAUCUGAACAACUGCCUCCUUGUGUGAACCCUGGCAAUCCUGUGUUUUCAUGUAUGUUGGAUCCAAAGACACUCCAGACAGCCACCUCACUAUCAAAACCUCAAAUGAUUAUGUAUAAAACCAAUUCAAGUCAUUAUGGUGAAUUUCUACCUAUUCCACAGUUUUUCCCCUGCAAUUAUACUCCAAAGGAGCAAGUAUUUUCAAGCCAUAUCAGAGCAACUGGAUUUUAUCAAAAUAACACUCUAAAUACUGCACCUGACAGAACCAGAACUCUUGAUUUUCCUAAUAUUCAAC